GACGAACGCUGGCGGCGUGCUUAACACAUGCAAGUCGAACGGAAAGGCCCUGCUCUUGUUCGUUGCUCGAGUGCCGCGCGCGGGUGAAAAACAUGUGUAUCCCCCCCCUGUCUUUCGGGUAUCUCCUGGAAACUCCGGCUAUUAUACGAUAUGAGCUUCUGCUCCGUGGUGGUCUUUGGAAAGUUUCGGCGGUUCGGGAUGGACUCGCGGCUUCUCCGCCUGUUGGUGGGGUAGUGGCUUACCAAGGCUUUGACGGGUAGCCGGCCUGAGAGGGUUACCGGCCACCAUGGGACUGAGAGACGGCACAGACGGCAACGGGACGCAGUAGUGGGGAAUAUUGCAGAAUGGGGGGAAGCCUGAGACAGCAACGCCGCGUGCGGGAUGACGGCUUUCGGGUUGUAAACCGAUUUGGCCGGUGACGAGGAGUGAGUGACGGUAACGGGUAAAGAAGCAACGGCUAACUACGUG
rnacentral:rRNA from 1 species